rnacentral:rRNA from 1 species
GCUGGCGGCGUGCUUAACACAUGCAAGUCGAACGGAAAGGCCCUGCUUUUGUGGGGUGCUCGAGUGGCGAACGGGUGAGUAACACGUGAGUAACCUGCCCUUGACUUUGGGAUAACUUCAGGAAACUGGGGCUAAUACCGGAUAGGAGCUCCUGCUGCAUGGUGGGGGUUGGAAAGUUUCGGCGGUUGGGGAUGGACUCGCGGCUUAUCAGCUUGUUGGUGGGGUAGUGGCUUACCAAGGCUUUGACGGGUAGCCGGCCUGAGAGGGUGACCGGCCACAUUGGGACUGAGAUACGGCCCAGACUCCUACGGGAGGCAGCAGUGGGGAAUAUUGCACAAUGGGCGGAAGCCUGAUGCAGCAACGCCGCGUGCGGGAUGACGGCCUUCGGGUUGUAAACCGCUUUCGCCUGUGACGAAGCGUGAGUGACGGUAAUGGGUAAAGAAGCACCGGCUAACUACGUGCCAGCAGCCGCGGUGAUACGUAGGGUGCGAGCGUUGUCCGGAUUUAUUGGGCGUAAAGGGCUCGUAGGUGGUUGAUCGCGUCGGAAGUGUAAUCUUGGGGCUUAACCCUGAGCGUGCUUUCGAUACGGGUUGACUUGAGGAAGGUAGGGGAGAAUGGAAUUCCUGGUGGAGCGGUGGAAUGCGCAGAUAUCAGGAGGAACACCAGUGGCGAAGGCGGUUCUCUGGGCCUUUCCUGACGCUGAGGAGCGAAAGCGUGGGGAGCGAACAGGCUUAGAUACCCUGGUAGUCCACGCUGUAAACGGUGGGUACUAGGUGUGGGGUCCAUUCCACGGGUUCCGUGCCGUAGCUAACGCUUUAAGUACCCCGCCUGGGGAGUACGGCCGCAAGGCUAAAACUCAAAGGAAUUGACGGGGCCCCGCACAAGCGGCGGAGCAUGCGGAUUAAUUCGAUGCAACGCGUAGAACCUUACCUGGGUUUGACAUGGAUCGGGAGUGCUCAGAGAUGGGUGUGCCUCUUUUGGGGUCGGUUCACAGGUGGUGCAUGGCUGUCGUCAGCUCGUGUCGUGAGAUGUUGGGUUAAGUCCCGCAACGAGCGCAACCCUUGUUCACUGUUGCCAGCACGUUAUGGUGGGGACUCAGUGGAGACCGCCGGGGUCAACUCGGAGGAAGGUGGGGAUGACGUCAAGUCAUCAUGCCCCUUAUGUCCAGGGCUUCACGCAUGCUACAAUGGCUGGUACAGAGAGUGGCGAGCCUGUGAGGGUGAGCGAAUCUCGGAAAGCCGGUCUCAGUUCGGAUUGGGGUCUGCAACUCGACCUCAUGAAGUCGGAGUCGCUAGUAAUCGCAGAUCAGCAACGCUGCGGUGAAUACGUUCCCGGGGCUUGUACACACCGCCCGUCAAGUCAUGAAAGUUGGUAACACCCGAAGCCGGUGGCCUAACCGUUGUGGGGGAGCCGUCGAAGGUGGGACUGGUGAU